GAACCUUUUACACUCAAGACACUGGUUAUUACCGUUUACAAACUGAAAAAGUUUAAACAAUGAUUUGUACGAUAAAUAGAAUCUCACCAUCGUGUCUUUUGACAUUACAUGGUCACUGGUUCGUUCUAGCAAGUGCUACGUGUUUGCUAUGAAGUGAAAGCUUUAGAAACUUGGUUCAGUUAAACAGCUGUCAGCCUCAGUCAUAAUCUUGUUGGCGAAGACUGUUGAGUCUGGCGUUGAUCUGUGGAGACAGAAUGGGCAUUCUAUUCCUUAAUCAAAAUCCUCAUCAAUCUUUCUGAAGAACUUGUAUAUUGUUUGUCUGUCCAUGAUAACUUUGACUUUAAAUGGCUCAUGUAAACUUACCCUAUGAUCAUGAUAAUAUUAACAAAAUGUCUUUUCCAACCAAUGAUAUUUUAGACAAAGGAUUCAUCAAAAUGUUCAUUAGUCAUGACAUUGUGCUCAAAUAUGUGUGCGGUGAUAUUGUUCAGUGCUUUGGGAGAGGGGAAUCGUGUGUGUGUGUGUAUGUAUCUGGAGAUCUAGAGAUACUGGCCUACAGUAUUACUGUCAAAUAGCUUGUACUUUCCCUACAGUCGUAGCGUUACAAGACUCUAAAUACUUGAUUGUCCGAACUGAUAAAAACAUUGCUUUGAGAAAAUUGUAUAUGUGAAGAUUAAUUACUAUUUACACAUUUGUCCAUAUAGUUUUUUAAUCAUUGGUUGGUGAACAGCCAGUCGUGGUGGUUCCUCGGUAGUUUGGUCCUGGGUGUGUUCGCUUUCACUUUUUAAAGGGUUGAAGCCAAAGCUUGUUCCUAUGAAAAAAUGACAUUUUGGGGAUAAGAAUCUGGUCAAGUCAACAAAUUAAUGUUGCUGUGAUUUAGAAAAAAUCACUAUUUUAUACAGGACUACAUAUAGGUGGCUUGCAUACUGACCACUCAUGAGGACUGACAACUUGUUAUACUCACCUGGGGGCAGAUCACACCAACAUGGAGGUGUAGGGAGUUGUGCUUAACUUAACAAUAAUGCAGUCUGCAGCUAAUCAAGAUCUCCACUUCCACAUUGUCGUCUUCCCCAACAUCGUCAUACACAUCGUCUUCACAACGGUGUACCGGUCAGUAGCAGUGGACUCUUUUUUCACUUGUGAUAUUUGCUGAAUGAUGUGAAGGCCUUCGAGGCUUGAUUGCUUGUGCCACAUUUACACCUGGAAGAAAGGGAUGGCACCACUUUCGUUAUAUUUCCAUAUCCUCCGGACAUCCAGGCUUUACAAGAAAUAAUUUUGGAAUUAGGUUCGUAUAGGAAGUAGCAGAUGAAACCCUUAAAAAUAGGUGAAAAUACUAGUUUCUAAUUACUGCUCUUUCUGCAGAUACCAUACUGUUAGAUGUUUUCAUCAUUGGUCUUGCCGUAAAAAAUCACUGAAAAGUUUAGAUUUUUUUUGUAACUUCAAAUGGCUAUAAAGGCAUUAUUUUGGUGUUUAUAUUUAUUAUAGUGAUACUGUCGAAUGCACAAUUCCAUGAGCUCUCUAGGAAACAUGGUAUGGCUACCAGUGGAGGUCACCUAGCCAGCCCCAAAUGCAUUAUAGUCGGAAAUUGUUUGAACUGGAUUUGGAUGUUCAGAAGAUAUAAGAAAAGUCAUUUUCAGAACAGUGUCCUGUUAUUAAUGUUUGGAUGUACAUGUAUCAUUUGUUUUUUGUUGUUAAGUGACAUACUUUAAAUGAAAUGCAGAAACAGUGAUAGAUAAUCUCCUCAAAAGUUUUGUUACUUUUCCUCCUUGGCAAUCAUUCUCCAACUACCCCUUCACUUGCAUCCUGUGGGAAUCGGAUUAACUUGUCACCAGUUAUCCAUGGUUUCCAGUUGCCAGGUCCGUGUAGUCUCUUCAAACGCUAUGUUGAAGUGGGGGACGUAGGUAAAUAUAGAAAGGUGGUGAAUAACCUUUUUUCAUGUGUUAUUAAAGAUAUAAUUGCCAGUUCCACUUUCCAUUGUGAUUUGAAACCUCAGAUUGACCAAUCAGAUUGGAAUAUUCACCCAUGUCAAACUACAUGAGGUUGCUCAGCUUUUUCAAUAAUGAUAGAACACUUUAAUUGCAGCUAGAUGUCGGUUUAUAUAAGGCCAAUGGGAAUAGCCAAAAUAUAGUUGUUACAAUUGUUAAAGUUUUCAAAGCCAAACUUAUACUAUUAUCCCAUUUUUGCUGACUCAGCUGUUGAUUCAACAGUCGACUCUCGUUAAUUUGACGACCCAACUACAUAUUGUCUGAGAUAACCAGAUACAAGGUCCACUGAGGCUCCUCAGACAGAUUGUUGUACAAGCCAUCUGUUGGCAAUUACCACCCACUGAUAAACCCAGCAACUGAUAAGCUCAUCCACUCUUCCCUUGAUAGGGCUAAUUGCUUUACAUUCACCUCAGUCCGUAUAUAAGUCAUCAUUGAACUAUUGUUUGGGAGGAAUUUUGUUGAUCUCUUCCCCUCCCCCGAGAUAAAUAGACGUGACAGACAAUUCCGGUUCUUUGAGUUGCUGUAGUUAAGAGAGUCGACUGUUAUUUAUCCUUCUAGAUAAUUGUGCAUUUGUAUUUAUUAUAGUUGUUUAGUUCUGUGCAAUGCUGUUCAUUAUACAGACAGGACUCCAAUGAAAUUGUUAAUGUUUUAGAUUCUGUAAAAGUAGUAUUUCAACACUUUAUCCUGUUUAUCUUUGUACAGUUUCACAUGCCCCCCUAUGACUUUCAUUGUCAGCAUUGUGAUGUCAUUGUGAUGUCCGACUCCUGUCUACUGGGUGGUUUCAUGUCAUUGUGUGUUAUUCUGAGUAACCAUGGUGAUGGAGAUGGUUGUAGACACUUUCUGUCUCGACAGGUGGGGGGCUGAUUGAUUGACUGAUGUUUUGUAGAUAUUUUCAUAUGUAUUCUUUUACAGUAUGAGAAGAAAAAAUAUUUUUGUUAUUUUGUUUGCAGAAAUGUAUUGUCAUAAAUCAUUGGUGCUUGUCCAUCAGGAACAGAUGCCAUUGUCAGCACAUAGUUUCCAUUAGAUACCAGAAAUUCAUGCUGUUUACGAGGAAACAUGUUUUAAUUUGUUGACUUCACAUCUCCAGCUAUUUCACAUAUGCUCAAAUAUUUUACAUCAAUUUGUAUAUAAUAUCAUAGAUAAAUAAAAGGGUAGUAGUUUAGGGUGUUUUUGUUUUUGGAAUGCAUGUUUUGUAAGUCAACACUUAUUUUAAUGUGAAAUUGUCGGAAACAUUUAUCAAUCUUUGAAUAGACUCUUGCUAUGGAAGCAGGGGACAAAAAUGCAACUUCCUUGUGACUAUGGAGUUAAUGCCUGCAAAUUAAUGAAACGGUAAAGACGUUAAUUGUUUUGUAGGACACUGACAUACUUUCCUGUUGUUCACAGAGUCUGUCAUGGAAUAUGAGGAAAAACACUCUGGAAUAUACCAUAUUCACUCCUAAUCAUAUUGUCCUUAUACACCAGACAGUAGAGCAUGUUAUGGACAGUGUGUGUCUGACUCAAACAGCUGUAUGGGUACAAGAUCUGUGUACAUAGAGGCGACACCUACCUCGCAAAACUAACCUGAUUUGAUGGAUGAUUUGUCUCUCCUGAGAAGUCAUGUCAGCAUGCAUUUGACUCAACACGACUUGCCAAACCCCUUUAAAUAUGUUUUUUAGUGCACUGAAGACUGGUCAGGUGUUGCUGAAUAGCUCAGUACAUUUUUCCUAAUUAUCACAUGUUUGAGGUACUGAUGUCCCAUACUUAAUACAAACUUACAACAGUGUUGUACUAUGUACAUCAAGUAUUGUCUCCAGUGUUGUAGCAAAGUAUGCCACACAUUUCUGUAAAUAUACUUGUACAGAGUUUAAGACUACACCCAUGUCACAGCCUCUUAAAGAUGGUUAUUGGUAAUUUUAAAGGGACAUAGCUACUAUAUCCAACGGACAACUUGUGUGCAUUGGUCUCUGUUUUACAAUGGAAUAUUGCCUGUCUCAGUGAUUGGUUUUAAUUAGGAUGAUAGAGUUAUGUCCCUUUUCUGGUGGAGGUGCACUGGUUUGGGAUGUAAUAGAAUGACAGUAUGUGUUGGUGCAAUGUCUAAAGUAAUUGCCAGAUUGUUGUUAAUGGGUCAGCUUGUUGAUAAAUGCACGAUUUCAAAGACUAUAUUUUGAGAUUCUCAUUGACUGUAUGUAUGUUUAUGGUUAGUCAUCUCAGAAUUGAAUAAAGCAUUAUCAUUU